UAGGGAAUAUUGCUUAAUGGGCGCAAGCCUGAAGCAGCAACGCCGCGUGUGCGAUGACGGCCUUCGGGUUGUAAAGCACUUUUAGGUGGGAAGAGGAAGGACGGUACCACCUGAAUAAGCCUCGGCUAACUACGUGCCAGCAGCCGCGGUAAAACGUAGGAGGCGAGCGUUAUCCGGAUUUACUGGGUGUAAAGCGCGUGCAGGCGGUUCGUUAAGUUGGAUGUGAAAGCUCCCGGCUCAACUGGGAGAGGUCGUACAAGACUGGCGGACUGGAGUGUGGUAGGGGAAGGUGGAAUUCCGGGUGUAGUGGUGAAAUGCGUAGAUAUCCGGAGGAACACCAGUGGCGAAGGCGGCCUUCUAGACCACAACUGACGCUCAGACGCGAAAGCUAGGGUAGCAAACGGGAUUAGAGACCCCGGUAGUCCUAGCCGUAAACGAUGUGAACUUGGCGGCGGUUGGGUAAAACCGAUCGGUGCCGAAGCAAACGCGAUAAGUCACCACCUGGGGACUACGGCCGCAAGGUUAAACU
rnacentral:rRNA from 1 species